rnacentral:rRNA from 1 species
AGGAAUAUUGGUCAAUGGACGCAAGUCUGAACCAGCCAUGCCGCGUGAAGGAUGAAGGUCCUCUGGAUUGUAAACUUCUUUUAUCUGGGACGAAAACGGGAUUUUUAUCUCACUUGACGGUACCAGAGGAAUAAGCACCGGCUACCUCCGUGCCAGCAGCCGCGGUAAUACGGAGGGUGCGAGCGUUAUCCGGAUUUACUGGGUUUAAAGGGUGCGUAGGUGGGCUUAUAAGUAAGUGGUGAAAUCUCCGAGCUUAACUUGGAAACUGCCGUUGAUACUAUAGGUCGUGAAUUAUCUGGAGGUUAGCGGAAUAUGUCAUGUAGAGGUGAAAUGCUUAGAUAUGACAUAGAACACCAAUUGCGAAGGCAGCUUACUACAUAUAAAUUGACGCUGAGGCACGAAGGCGUGGGGAUCAAACA